rnacentral:lncRNA from 1 species
GUUCUAGUAUUAAGUUGUUGCAUUUUUGUUGUCAUUUUAGGAUGUUAGUUGUGACAUGCAUGACAGAACAAAUUCUUGUCCGAAUGGGUUUUGUUGCGUUAGAGACCAGUUUCUUCCCCAAUAUGUGUACUGCAAGAAGAUAGGUCAGCAAGGAUCUCAUUGUCGACAUGUUCCAGAUGAAUCUGUGUGUAACUGUGACAUUGGACUGACAUGUGUUCCAAACUUAGACGUUCCUACGUUUGUCUCUAUUUAUGGCACGUGUCAUAAUUUAACAACAAAAACAAGGCAAUAAAGAACAAAUAUCGGUUAAAUGCAGUCACGUUUGGAUC